GACGAACGCUGGCGGCGUGCUUAACACAUGCAAGUCGAACGGAGUAUUCACGAAAGAGGUUUCGGCCAAUGGAGUGAAUUACUUAGUGGCGGACUGGUGAGUAACGCGUGAGGAACCUGCCUUUCAGUGGGGGACAACAGUUGGAAACGACUGCUAAUACCGCAUAAUACAUUUAGGGGACAUCCCUUGAAUGUCAAAGAUUUAUUGCUGAAAGAUGGCCUCGCGUCUGAUUAGCUAGUUGGUGAGGUAACGGCCCACCAAGGCGACGAUCAGUAGCCGGACUGAGAGGUUGACCGGCCACAUUGGGACUGAGAUACGGCCCAGACUCCUACGGGAGGCAGCAGUGGGGAAUAUUGGGCAAUGGACGAAAGUCUGACCCAGCAACGCCGCGUGAAGGAAGAAGGCUUUCGGGUUGUAAACUUCUUUUAAGGGGGAAGAGUAGAAGACGGUACCCCUUGAAUAAGCCACGGCUAACUACGUG
rnacentral:rRNA from 1 species